AGAGUUUGAUCCUGGCUCAGGAUGAACGCUGGCGGCGUGCCUAACACAUGCAAGUCGAACGAAGCAAUUAAAAUGAAGUUUUCGGAUGGAUUUUUAAUUGACUGAGUGGCGGACGGGUGAGUAACGCGUGGAUAACCUGCCUCACACUGGGGGAUAACAGUUAGAAAUGACUGCUAAUACCGCAUAAGCGCACAGUACCGCAUGGUACAGUGUGAAAAACUCCGGUGGUGUGAGAUGGAUCCGCGUCUGAUUAGCCAGUUGGCGGGGUAACGGCCCACCAAAGCGACGAUCAGUAGCCGACCUGAGAGGGUGACCGGCCACAUUGGGACUGAGACACGGCCCAAACUCCUACGGGAGGCAGCAGUGGGGAAUAUUGCACAAUGGGCGAAAGCCUGAUGCAGCGACGCCGCGUGAGUGAAGAAGUAUUUCGGUAUGUAAAGCUCUAUCAGCAGGGAAGAAAAUGACGGUACCUGACUAAGAAGCCCCGGCUAACUACGUGCCAGCAGCCGCGGUAAUACGUAGGGGGCAAGCGUUAUCCGGAUUUACUGGGUGUAAAGGGAGCGUAGACGGCGAAGCAAGUCUGAAGUGAAAACCCAGGGCUCAACCCUGGGACUGCUUUGGAAACUGUUUUGCUAGAGUGUCGGAGAGGUAAGUGGAAUUCCUAGUGUAGCGGUGAAAUGCGUAGAUAUUAGGAGGAACACCAGUGGCGAAGGCGGCUUACUGGACGGUAACUGACGUUGAGGCUCGAAAGCGUGGGGAGCAAACAGGAUUAGAUACCCUGGUAGUCCACGCCGUAAACG
rnacentral:rRNA from 1 species